CACGCCCGUCCCUCCCGCACCGCCAUGAGCCGCGGGCCGGCCGCCCCGCGGAGUCCCCGGACAGCAGGCAUCUGAUGCCAGCUCUGAGAAACUGUUCAACGCUGUCACAAAUAAAGAUAAAGAGGUGGGAGUUGGUGCACUUGCUGACAAUGACGACUCUGGUGCUAGGGGCCCAGCUGUCCCCAAAAUAUCAGGACUAGAAAGGAGCCAAGAGAAGAGCCAGGACAGCAGCAAAGACCCAAUACUUGAGCCUGUGGUGCCUAAAGACCCCCGUCCUCAGGUGACGCCGCCGCCGCUGGAGCCACCUCCCGAGGGCCGCUGCCCCAGCCCCGCGCUCGC